rnacentral:tRNA from 1 species
GGGGAUGUGGCUCUGUGGUCGAGCACUUGCCUGGCACGCUUGAGGACUGGGAUUCCAUCCCCA